UCAGAGGCGUUAACCCUUUCAGUACGUGAAAAUAUCCCAGGAAUGCAUGCCUACGGAGGAGGUUGUCUACGAAGCUACGUUGCUACGGUCUACGGUAUAAAGUAGAAAAGUAGCACGAAGCUUCAUAGGAACUACAAGAGGCUGUAACUUACUUGUAGCCGUACUCCAGGUCGUCCCCGCAGCCACCCCAAACCCAGUCGCUGUGCAGGUUCCGAGGUCGCGGGCCCGUCCCACAGCCGCAGCUGGUCAGACGACCAUCGCGACAGGCACGAGACACUGCCACGGAGACCCCGGCGGCCGUGAUCGCAUGAGUGAAAGCUGUUUCUCUGGAAGC